UCUCCAGACUCCUACGGGAGGCAGCAGUGAGGAAUAUUGGUCAAUGGCCGGAAGGCUGAACCAGCCAAGCCGCGUGAAGGACGAAGGUGCCAAGCAUUGUAAACUUCUUCUGUCAAGGGACAAAAUCAGGCUCGAGAGCCUGACCGAGGGUACUUGAAGAAAAAGCAUCGGCUAACUCCGUGCCAGCAGCCGCGGUAAUACGGAGGAUGCGAGCGUUAUCCGGAUUUAUUGGGUUUAAAGGGUGCGUAGGCGGGACGGUAAGUCAGCGGUAAAAAUGCGGAGCUCAACUCCGUCGAGCCGUUGAAACUGGCUGUCUUGAGAUGUCGAGAGGUAUGCGGAAUGCGCAGUGUAGCGGUGAAAUGCUUAGAUAUUGCGCAGAACUCCGAUUGCGAAGGCAGCAUACCGGCGGCGAUCUGACGCUGAGGCACGAAAGCGUGGGUAUCGAACAGGAUUAGAUACCCUUGUA
rnacentral:rRNA from 1 species